ACGAACGCUGGCGGCGUGCCUAAUACAUGCGAGUAGAACGCUGAAGAGAGGAGCUUGCUCUUCUUGGAUGAGUUGCGAACGGGUGAGUAACGCGUAGGUAACCUGCCUUGUAGCGGGGGAUAACUAUUGGAAACGAUAGCUAAUACCGCAUAACAAUGGAUGACACAUGUCAUUUAUUUGAAAGGGGCAAUUGCUCCACUACAAGAUGGACCUGCGUUGUAUUAGCUAGUAGGUGAGGUAAUGGCUCACCUAGGCGACGAUACAUAGCCGACCUGAGAGGGUGAUCGGCCACACUGGGACUGAGACACGGCCCAGACUCCUACGGGAGGCAGCAGUAGGGAAUCUUCGGCAAUGGGGGCAACCCUGACCGAGCAACGCCGCGUGAGUGAAGAAGGUUUUCGGAUCGUAAAGCUCUGUUGUAAGUCAAGAACGGGUGUGAGAGUGGAAAGUUCACACUGUGACGGUAGCUUACCAGAAAGGGACGGCUAACUACGUG
rnacentral:rRNA from 1 species